rnacentral:lncRNA from 1 species
AAAGGAAAAAACCCUGAUAUUUCCCGAGUGUGGUUAUCCCUUGCAAGAUUCGAGCUAAGCUACAGGAGUAUGCCACCAGAUUUGAGGCUAUGCUUUGCUUAUUAUUGUGCAGUCUUCCCAACUGGCCACAACAUAGUCAAAGAUGACCUGGUUCAUCAAUGGAUUGCUCUGCACCUCAUUGAGCCAUCUGAAACAUUGUCUGCCGCACAGAUAGCAGAGGAGCAUAUUACCAGGCUUCAGAACAUGUCAUUCCUUCAAACUGCAGAGCUGGACCACGUGAGUAAUUGUCUACUACUCUAUUGUACAAAAUCUGCUGACUUAUAAAGACAGAAAACUGAAGUAAAAUUUGAGUGAAUUGUAUCAUACUUGUUCCUACUGGAUGGAUUACUAAUGUGUGGAUAUAGUAGUAGGUAUGCCCGAGGGACAUGAUAUAGUGAAGCGAAAGAACAACAUACAUCUAGGAAACUAAGACAUAUAUAGGCUACUUACUAAUUUUUAAUUGGAAGAAGAGGAUCCAAUCGGCUGUCCGAUCACGCGCUGGAAUCGGCCGCCUUGGUCGAGCAACACGUGCCGCCCAAGUUGCUGGCUCCCUUCGACAUUAUCCUUUCCUGAGCCACCCCUCCACAAAGGGCCUCUUUGAUUCAAAUAAUUUCUAAAAUAAUUUUGUAGAAUUCUAAUCUUUGAACAACAUGGAAGCUUCUUGUUAUGAUAAUAGCCCCCUUGCGAUAAGUUCAUCUUGUAUCCAUGUUUGGUCCUUUGCAAUCGUGGUUCUGACCAUAUUGUUCUUGUUUGAUCCAUUUAUCGAACAAGUUAAAGUACUUGUCUUCUUCAGAUCGUUUCACCUGUUCAACCUCUACAUUGCUAUACCCUCGAGUAUUACCCUCUGGUAUCUCGAGAAUAUCAUGGAACUACAUAACUUCUUAUGAGUUUUUCAUCAACUAUUAUUCUCGUCGAUUCAAAUUUUCCACGGGUUCUGAGUUGUUAGACACUCGAGAACACCGAUAACCGAUUCAAGUCUCCAUUGUUUUGUUUAACCUUUCUUGUAACCUAACAUAUCUGAGCAGUGACAAUUCCCUGCUUAUGUAAACACCUCGGUGUACAAACUCUGUCAAUAAGACCAUGUUACUAUUGUGGGUGACAUUCCGGUAGCCACCGAUGGAGGAGAACUUUGCCUAUUGGUCCGCCUCGUCUUAACGAGCAGGAGAAUGGUUCUCUUCGUCCCUCGCCCUUGGUACCGAUGUUGUUGCCGACAUAACUGACAGGUUAUAGUCUGACAUGCCUUGCUAUCAAGAUCGUGCAAGAUGACAUAACCCUUCCUAGUUUUUGAUCCACGUGGUGGGCCCAUAACCCACAGUUUCACAGGAUCGAAACCUGACUCUCCUGUACAUCCCUGUUUUCCAAAAUUGUUCCUCGCACUUAGCUUCGUAUGUACAUCAUGAGCCACCCACCUAGUGAUCUACUCUGGUAUCAGAUGCAAUACUUAUUCCCAUUGCUCCUCCUUACCUUGCUCUCGAUGACUUUCUUGAAUUUCAACUCGAGAGAUGCCUCUAUGCCAUGUUCACCGAGAUAGCCCCAGGUACCUAUCUUGUGUUCAGCUCCGUCCUUCCCGAGUCUUUCCCCCUUACUCCACCCCUUAAAUCUCGGGACGAGAUUUCUUGUAGUGGAGGAGAAUUGUGACGCCCGAAUAAUUAAGCAACAGUAAUCCUCUGUAAUGAUGCCACGUCACCAUGAUUACUGUUGAUAAACUCGCGUGGUUCGAAAUUGGUUCAAUUUUCAAAUUCAAAUUAAAGUCCAAAACUAAAAUUUUCAAACAUGAAAGCUAAAAUGUUCAAAGUGUGUCAAAUAAUCUCUGGUUAUUUGUCAUGUUGAAACCUAUAUUUUAAAAUGUGUUUUUAAUGCCCUAAAAUAAAUAAAACAGGGGCUAAAACUAGUAUUAAAUCCUUUUAAUUAUUAAACAAAUGCAAACUACUUUUUUUAUGUGCCAAAUUAUAUGUGGCAGUAGCCUAUUUUAUAAUAUUAUUUUAGNNNNNNNNNNNNNNNNNNNNNNNNNNNNNNNNNNNNNNNNNNNNNNNNNNNNNNNNNNNNNNNNNNNNNNNNNNNNNNNNNNNNNNNNNNNNNNNNNNNNNNNNNNNNNNNNNNNNNNNNNNNNNNNNNNNNNNNNNNNNNNNNNNNNNNNNNNNNNNNNNNNNNNNNNNNNNNNNNNNNNNNNNNNNUGCAAGUCUUCUAUUUUAUAUAACUAGUUCUGUUUUAAAAAGUUUAGGAAAACAGGAAAGCUUAAAAAAACAAAUAGAAAAGGCCCCUGCCCCCUGGGCCUAACCCCCCGGGCUAAGCCCCACAAGCUAGCCGGCCCAGCCCACUCCUCCCCCUGUCGUCUUCCCCCGCCCUGUUCGACCGACCGAGCACCCGCGCCCAUCGGCCGCAGCCCGACCACCUCGCCGUCGCCGCCGCCGAGGCGAUAAGAUCGCCACCCCCACCGACGCCUCGAACCCUUCCCCCACUCGCCCACUUGCCCCCUCUCGCUCGCCUCUGCGCCUCCCCUCCCCCAGAUCCACCUCUCCCCUCUCCUCCCGCUCGAUCUCGAGCGCGCCCAUCGCCAUGGCCCCAUCCUUGUCACGGCCACCGUCGCCACCUCGCCUCGUCCCCGUGACAGAUCGGUUCUCCGGCCCUCGCUACAUCCUCCCCGACCACCUGCUCGAGCCGGGACCCCCUGCAUCACCCCCCAACGCCGUCGCCUUCUUCCUUGGGUCGCCGCCAUCUUCUUCGACUCCGGCGACUGCUGCUGCUACUAAGCCUCUCACGGGCCUUUCUUGGCCGCACGGUGAGCUCCUCCCUUCCUCCCUUCCUCUCCUCCCGUCGUGCUUUUUGCCGUAGCUAGCUCGCCCGCAAGCCGAGCUCCGCCGUCUGCCAUUGUCGUCAUAGGGCUCGCCUCCGAGCUCCUCCGCUCGAGCCAGUAGCUCCGACGAGCUCCUGGAGCGCCAUAGACCUCGCCUAGCCCUUUACUUCGCUCGCACACGCUCUGUAGCGCCGAUCCUGAACUCCGGCCGAACGCGCCGCCCGCCACUGUCGAUGUAGCGCUCCAUUCCGGUCGAGUUAGCCCACGGGACCGCCGUAGAUCGAUGCGGCGUCGGACGCCCGGUCGAACGCGCCUAACCGCAUCUCUCCCCGUGCCCUGUAGCUUUUUUUCGGCGAAGUCCGGCGAUGCUCCGCCGCGGAAAUGGUCGCCGGCGCGUCUCCGGUGCCGCCCGCCGACGUGGCCCAUCAGGCCCCACCUCACAGCCACUGACCGCGGGCCCCAUGGGCCCCAGAUGACUGGGUUGACCCAGUCAACUGCUGACUGGGCACCAGUGGGCCACUGACGUGUGGGUCCCGCGCGUAAUUAAUCUAAUUUGAAGUUAAAACUUUAAUUAGUAAAUAGAUUAGUCUAAUGUAUCACUGACAUAUUGGGCCCACACCCCUUAUUAGUUUAGUUAGAUUAGUUAAUUCGCUGUUAUAGCCACUCUCACUGACCAGUGGGUCCCGCUGGACCCACAGGUCAGGUUUGACCUGGUCAGCCGACCAGCUGGCUGCUGACGUCAUCCUCUAGUCAUGCUGACGUCAUAAUUCCAAUUCUGUUAAUUUAGAUAAUUCCAAAAUAUGUUUUAAUCUUUGAAAAUUCGUAGAAAAUAAACCGUAGCUCGGAUGAAAAAGUUUUAUACAUGAAAGUUGCUCAGAACGACAAGGCAAAUUGGAAUGCGUGGUCCGUUUACCUGUCACAUGCCUCUAUCUGUCUGAACAUGGAACAUUUCCCCUCCGGUCAUCUGUCUCACACAGGUCCGGAACCGGGAAAGCAUUUCCGGUUGAAUUCCCCCUUCACCUAUAUCGUGUAACCCUGUGUUAGAACACCUCUAGCAUCGCUUAUUGUCAUGUUAUGCAUAUGUUUGCGUGUAUUUACUGUUUCUUCCCCUCUUCUCUCCGGUAGACCCCGGGACCGCUGCUGAUGCCCCUACGAUCGACUACGUCGACGACGACCCUCCUUCUCGCCUGAGCAACCAGGCAAGCCCCCCCUUUGAUCAUCUUGAUAUCGCCCAUUCCAUUCUCUCAUGCUUGCAUUAGAUUUUGCUAUUGUUAUUGAUUGUUCCUAUUCUGAUGCAUAGCCUGCUUUUGUAACCUGCUCAUUGUACCUUACCUGCUUAUCCUAAACUGCUUAGUAUAGGUUGGUUAGUGAUCCAUUAGUGACCCCCACCUUGUCCUUGUUGCCCCUGCUUCAUCUUCGACGACUCGAUCAACGUGAUCGAUGACCAGAGCCUGACACCUCACAUCACAUCACGCCCCUUUAGUUGCUCGACUCUGCAGAGCUACUAUCGAGUGCUGAGGGUGAUCCCUCAUAAUGCACUCCUGAUGAUAAUUCUGUAGUGUAGCUAUUCGGGCGUGGUCAUCGAGGGUGAUUUCCUCUUUCACCAUUCCUGAUACGGCUCUGUCGUUCAACACCUCAAGUGUGAACCUCGAGGGUGGUCCCUCUUAAAUUCACCUUGAUGAUUACAUUGAGUGGAAUCCACCGGGGGUGAUUCCCCGGGUUUUCCCCUUGAUGUCUGGACACACGGUUACCUUGACUUUACUUGAGACCAUUGUUGAAGUCGGGUCGGCCCUGAGGGGUACCCGCGAGUUGAUGUGAAAAUCGGGCGGGCCCGUAGAGCACCCGCGAGUUUUCCACGUGGCACGGCCGGGCAGUCUGGGCCCUUGCCGUAAGUCCAUGAGACGGGGCGACGGGGUCACAUUAUCGUGAGUCUCUGCUCGUCUCCGCGAGCCCCCAAUGCACUAACAGGUUUGGGUAUUUGUUCUGAGUUGGCCUCUGGCCUUUACGCACUAACCACCACGCGAGAAUAGAUAUGGGCCUCGACGUCGCAGUAUCAGCCGAAGCUUUGUCAGACGUCCAGUUCAGCAAUGCGGCAUGGUCGGAUCGUGCUGGCCAUCCGAGGCGGUACUGGUAUUCACCCUGCGCGCAAUGACCCGGAGUGCUGCGGGCGAUGGGCCCAAGACCCCGGAGCGCUUAGGAUGUAGACCGGCGGGGACCUCUCUGCUGAGCCUAGGUAGGGUUGCGACGUGUUGAUCUUCCGAGGCCGGGCAUUGACCCCAGAAAGGUGUGUCCGGCCAGAGUGAUCGAGCGUGUUGGGUAACGUGGUGCACCCCUGCAGGGAAGAUAUAUAUUUGAAUACCGUGUCCGCGGUAAUGGAUGUUCAGACUUAUAUCCUGAUCUUAUAUAACUAGAAACGGAUACUUGAGAUAUGUGAUGGAUAUGUGGCUCCGAGAUUGCUUUCCCGCAGGGAGUCGAGGAAGGAUCUCUGGGCGUUGAUGUUACAACAUGCUUGUUAAAUAUUAAAAUGUUACUCUUUACUCUUCUACAUGCUGCAAGAUGCUUGGAGCUGCUUGAAGAUGCUAGUCUUCGAUAGGCUAGGCCUUCCCCCUCUAUUCUGGCAUUCUGCAGUUCAGUCCACAGAUACAAACCUUCCUUUUGAUACCAAUGCAUACUUAGUAUACAUCUGAUGCUUGCGAGUACUUUGGAUGAGUACUCACGGUUGCUUUGCUACCCCUUUUCCCCCUUCUUUCUUCUUUCCGGUUGAUGCAACCAAAUGAUGGAUCCCUGGAGCCAGAUGCCACCGUCGAUGGAUACUACUGUAUGGAGACCGCCGACGACCAGGAGUAGUUAGGAGGUCCCAGGCAGGAGGCCUUGCCUCUUCGAUCGUUGAUGUUUGUGCUAGCCUUCUUAAGGCAUCCUUGUUUAACUAAUGUCUGUACUCAGAUAUUGUUGCUUCCGCUACUGCUUGUGUAUCGAGCUAUGUAUUCGAGCCUUCGAGGCCCCUGGCUUGUAAUAUAAAGCUUGUAUUAUUUCUAUUUGUGUCUAGAGUUGUGUUGUGAUAUCUUCCCGUGAGUCCCUGAUCUUGAUCAUACACAUUUGCGUGUAUGAUUAGUGUACGAUUGAAUCGGGGGCGUCACAGGUGAGGAUAGGUCAUUGUUGUAGUUUGUCGAUCGCUUUGAGUUUUUCUCUCUCGCGCUUAGGCAUAGUUUGGUCUUGUAUUACUUUGCUAUUUGCCGACUUGUUUUUUGGUGUUUGUGUGUGCGUAUGUUGUUUAUUGUGUGCAUUCUAACUAUGUAGAGUCAGAUGUGUUGAGUAUUGUGUCUAUAGCUACUUGACGCUUCAUUUGGAGUCAGUAAAUUCACCCUUUGUGAAAGGAAAAAACCCUGAUAUUUCCCGAGUGUGGUUAUCCCUUGCAAGAUUCGAGCUAAGCUACAGGAGUAUGCCACCAGAUUUGAGGCUAUGCUUUGCUUAUUAUUGUGCAGUCUUCCCAACUGGCCACAACAUAGUCAAAGAUGACCUGGUUCAUCAAUGGAUUGCUCUGCACCUCAUUGAGCCAUCUGAAACAUUGUCUGCCGCACAGAUAGCAGAGGAGCAUAUUACCAGGCUUCAGAACAUGUCAUUCCUUCAAACUGCAGAGCUGGACCACGUGAGUAAUUGUCUACUACUCUAUUGUACAAAAUCUGCUGACUUAUAAAGACAGAAAACUGAAGUAAAAUUUGAGUGAAUUGUAUCAUACUUGUUCCUACUGGAUGGAUUACUAAUGUGUGGAUAUAGUAGUAGGUAUGCCCGAGGGACAUGAUAUAGUGAAGCGAAAGAACAACAUACAUCUAGGAAACUAAGACAUAUAUAGGCUACUUACUAAUUUUUAAUUGGAAGAAGAGGAUCCAAUCGGCUGUCCGAUCACGCGCUGGAAUCGGCCGCCUUGGUCGAGCAACACGUGCCGCCCAAGUUGCUGGCUCCCUUCGACAUUAUCCUUUCCUGAGCCACCCCUCCACAAAGGGCCUCUUUGAUUCAAAUAAUUUCUAAAAUAAUUUUGUAGAAUUCUAAUCUUUG